rnacentral:rRNA from 1 species
AAAUUGAAGAGUUUGAUCAUGGCUCAGAUUGAACGCUGGCGGCAGGCCUAACACAUGCAAGUCGAACGGUAACAGGAAGCAGCUUGCUGCUUCGCUGACGAGUGGCGGACGGGUGAGUAAUGUCUGGGAAACUGCCUGAUGGAGGGGGAUAACUACUGGAAACGGUGGCUAAUACCGCAUAACGUCGCAAGACCAAAGAGGGGGACCUUCGGGCCUCUUACCAUCAGAUGUGCCCAGAUGGGAUUAGCUUGUUGGU